AAAAAAAGAAAAAGAGUCGACAAUGUUGUUGCGUCUUGCGCUUCCAUUCUGUUUGUUUUUUUCCCCGUAUAUCCCCCC
rnacentral:ribozyme from 1 species